UUGACAUUAAUAGUUGCGACUAAUAAUAAUAAUAAUUUGACAUAAUAGCGAUAUAUGGUAAUCUUUCGCUACAAGAAAUUUGUUGUUUAACGUCUCAAAUUAAGCAUUAGGUUUUCGUUUUCGGCUUCUCUAAUUGUUUUGAGAAUCGUUAAUCUCUUGUUUUGAUUUCAGUUUUUCUUCUCCAUCUAUGGAGGAAUCGGAGGUUCUCUUCUGCAAUAGCUUAUCAAAGAUUAUACAGCAUAAAUUUCUUUGAAUUUGUUGUGUGUUAUGACAAACCAAUUCGAUUCUAACAAUGAUUUACAAAUUUUGUUGAAGGAUAUGUUCGUCGCAAGAGAAAUCUUCUUCUUCUCCUCACUGGCAAAUUUUCACCGUCUCGCAGGUGAAUUGGUAACAAGAGAAUUCAUAGGACUAUGAGGCUAGAUUUGUCCUAUUACCAGCUGCACUUGGAGAACUCAAGAAUCUUCUUUGUUUGGUACAUUCUCAGUGUUUUACUUUUCUCAUUUGAGUUUUCAUGUAGUUAAACAUUAACAGUCUUUUAGGAAUUUGUCCUGAGUUUCUAUCCAAUAUCGGGGGACUCACUCUUGUGUAUGUCUCUAAGUUCUGCUUUCUAUUGUUCCGAAGUUGAACAAGAUACAUUUGGAGAGUAUUUACCAACUUAUUUGUGAAACAUUCUUAAUGUGUAAUGACAUUUUCGUAUAAAACUCUUACCAGUUUGAUGCCAAAACUGCCAGCCAGAACUUUCAAGCUCAAAUAAAGACAGUUUGCAAGAACAUCAUCAAGCAUAGUCAUAAGUCAUCACCUCCACUUACUACUUAAUCUCUUAAGUCCAAGCUUGGUGAAGAUAAAUCAAAAGCACAAGCACUCUGGCAAACAUGAGUCUCCUAUGGGAUCAAAAGCAUUUACAAGCACUCUGGCAAACAUGAUUUUAGUAAAUGUAAAAAGUACUUUAGUAUAUAAAUAGGAAGCAUUGUGAUUUGUGGAUGCUCUGUUUUUAUUUUUUGUUCCUAUUUUAAGAUUGUUCUGUACGUGUAAAACCAUAUAAUAUUUGAUUAAUGAAAAUUCAAUUGGAUCAA